UCUUGGUCAUUUAGAGGAAGUAAAAGUCGUAACAAGGUUUCCGUAGGUGAACCUGCGGAAGGAUCAUUAUUGAUUGUGAAUGGUUGCCUUCAGUGCUGGCUCCGGCAAGUGCACGCUGGUGACUUCAAUCCAAUACCCUUGUGAACCAUUGGCCUCUUGCUUGCUUCGGCUGGUAGAGGAUAUUUACACCAACUCGAAUGUAAUGAAAUUAUUGUUGUGCGCAAGCACUAAUGUACAACUUUCAACAACGGAUCUCUUGGCUCUCGCAUCGAUGAAGAACGCAGCGAAAUGCGAUAAGUAAUGUGAAUUGCAGAAUUCAGUGAAUCAUCGAAUCUUUGAACGCACCUUGCACCCUUUGGCAUUCCGAAGGGUAUGCUCGUUUGAGUGUCAUUGUACUCUCACACUUCCAAUUCUUUGGAUUGGGAGCGGUGGACUUGGGCGCUGCUGCUUUACUGUGGCUCACCUCAAAUGCAUUAGUGCAACCCUUGGUUAGACAUAGUACGGCGUGAUAAGUGUGGGGCGCUGGCGCCUCACUUUUAGAGGGUGGCUGAUCAGGGGCUCUGUGCUUCAAACCGUCUUUGGACAAUGGCUGACAACUUGACCUCAAAUCGAGUAGGACUACCCGCUGAACUUAAGCAUAUCAAUAAGCGGAGGAA
rnacentral:rRNA from 1 species